GUAUCGUAAUUGAAGAGGUUUGGAAAGACCCACCACAGAAGGUAAUAGUCCUGUAUGUUAAACGAGAAGACUUUAGAUAUGAUCCAGAGUACCACGGGACACGUGAAACCCUGUGGGAAGCAGGAGGGACCACCCUCCAAGGCUAAAUACUACCUAGUGACCGAUAGCGUAUAGUACCGUGAGGGAAAGGUGAAAAGAACCCCGGGAGGGGAGUGAAAUAGAACCUGAAACCCUGCACUUACAAGCUGUGGAAGCACAUUUCUUGUGUGACCGCGUACUUUUUGUAGAACGGGCCAACGAGUUACGUUAAGUAGCAAGGUUAAGCACUUAAGGUGUGGAGCCGUAGCGAAAGCGAGUUUUAACUGAGCGUUCAGUUACUUGACGUAGACCCGAAACCGGGCGACCUACCCAUGAGCAGGAUGAAGCGAAAGUAAAAUUUCGUGGAGGUCCGAACCCACGAGCGUUGAAAAGCUCGGGGAUGACUUGUGGGUAGCGGUGAAAUUCCAAUCGAGCCCGGAGAUAGCUGGUUCUCCCCGAAAUAGCUUUAGGGCUAGCCUCAAGGUGAGAGAUACGGAGGUAGAGCACUGAAUGUCCUAGGGGGUAUUGCACCUACCGAAGACUAUCAAACUCCGAAUGCCGUCAUCUUAUACUUGGGAGUCAGACUGUGGGUGAUAAGAUUCAUAGUCGAAAGGGCAACAGCCCAGAUCGUCAGCUAAGGUCCCUAAAUGUAAGUUAAGUGGUAAAGGAUGUGGGAUUGCACAGACAACCAGGAUGUUGGCUUAGAAGCAGCCACUCAUUCAAAGAGUGCGUAAUAGCUCACUGGUCGAGUGAUCCUGCGCCGAAGAUUUCCGGGGCUAAAACUUACUACCGAAGCUACGGCAUCAGUAAUGAUGGGUAGGGGAGCUUCCCAUACGGGUUGAAGCAUGACCGUAAGGACAUGUGGACAGUAUGGGAGUGAGAAUGUUGGCAUGAGUAGCGAGAUGUGGGUGAGAAUCCCACAGGCCGUAAACCCAAGGUUUCCAGGGGAAGGUUCGUCCGCCCUGGGUUAGUCGGGACCUAAGCUGAGGCCGAAAGGCGUAGGUGAUGGACAACAGGUUGAUAUUCCUGUAC
rnacentral:rRNA from 1 species